rnacentral:lncRNA from 1 species
ACCUAAGGAAGCCUAAAGAUUUUUCUAUUCAUUAGUAAAAAAAUAUAUAAAUUGAUAGACAAAAUCGUUUUUAUUAAAUGAAACAGUUUGUAGUCGCUAAUAAAUAGUUUAUAUAAUUAACUUCAGAUUUGCGUGGCAGUUGAGAGCAAAAAAUCAUCCCUUCCAGUUGAUAGAGAAAUAUUUUAAAAACACUUAAGGAAGAUGGAACAUUUUUCUAUUCAUUUGUGAAAAAACAUAACAAUUCAUAGACGGGAUCAGUUUUGAUGAGAUGAAAAAAUUUGUUGCCUCUAAUAAAUAAUAUGAUUAUUUCGUUAUUUCCAAAUUGGGUUCUAAGUUUUGGGCCAAAAAUGACUCUUUUAAUCAAUAAAACUUUUUUUUUAAACCUAAGAAGCUGGAACAUUUUUCUAUUCAUUCGUUGAAAGAAUAUAUCAAUUGAUAAGACAUAGUCAGUUUUUAUUAGAUGAAGAAAUUUGUAGUUACGAAUACACUAUGAGAAGAGUGUCAUGUUUGUGUUAUGCUCAUUCCUUUAUGGACAUUGAACCUCGUACAAUUCACAUAAAGGAAAGUGUAGGUUCCUUCAUUCAAACUAAGAUAGUCCUAAAUGUAGAGGUACAUAAUUUGAGUGAGAUAAUAAAAAAACUCUGUGCGUCAUAUUUAAUGCACUAGUCUUAAGAAACCAGUUUUAGUACGUGCGAUUCAUGAAGAAGACGUAUUUAAUUUUUGACUAUGGAUCUCCGGAUUCCUCAGUGAAUAGCCAAUUGAUUUUAACAAUUGAGGUAUUUAUUAGAAGAAACACUUCAUACACAACCAGCACUAUUAAUGACCAAAUUUAUAACAUUUGAGACUAAGUAGACAGUGCUGAUGAGAACAUAGACAAUUUAAAAUGACUAAUACUUAAUUUAUAGCUUAUGAAGAGGUUACUACCGAAACGAAAGCAUAAGAUGCUUCAUUAACUCCUUUAUCCAACAUUCACGUCGCUAUAAAUCUUCACUUUUAUCAAGGUUACACUAUAGUGUAAUCGGGCUUACCAGAAUUUUCAAUUUGAUGUACCAUACCGACUGUUGGCAAGACAAACCGAUUUUGACGUCAUAGAGUAUAACAACGGUAUAUUAACAGAAUAUAAAAUUGGAAAAGAUAUGAUUAAUAGGAACUAUAUAUACUCUUACGUCACUAUUAAAAAGGAUGGUGAAAGUCAAACAUCAGUCGGAAAAGCGGCGAGCACGUUUGGUCAAAUAAAUAACUGUUUUGAGAUUAGAAAAGGAAACGGGUUUUGUGUGUACUCUUUCUUUUUUCUUAAUAAUUGUUUUGAUAACAUAUCCCUCUAAUAAAGACUAUAGUUUGCCGCUUACCUAAAUGAAAUAUCGAAUAUAAUUAAUUUUAUCAGUCAUAUGCCUUAAACAGUUUCCCCUCCGUCUGGCUUGCAAUUAAUUGGAUCGACAUCUAUUUAUUUUCCCUAGGAGCUCAUAUUUUUCCAUUUGGAUAUCCUAGUAUAAAAUAAAUAAGUUCCUCCAAAUCUUCUACGAAAUAAUCAGAUACUGCUAUAAGAACUAAUGAGUUCCAUUAAAAGACAGAAUAAUCGACUGAAAGCCCAAGUGAGGAACAGAAAGAGUUUUCAUCCUCCAUCCACUGCUCCAUCAUUAAAAUUAUUAAGUUAUUUUCUUCUUAACUCAACUUUGCUCUGUCUUUUAUUGUAAGAAAAAUAUUUCAUUGAUAAGAGUACUUCAGUUUCCUUGAUGUAGAUAUAUAACGCAGAAUUAACUCAUCUCAAUCAAAAUUUCAUUUUUAAGGUUAAGUUUGUGAUGUAUAAUCUAUAUAGAUAAUUAUAUAACCUGGAUCCUUGAUUUCUGUAUUAGUUGUAGGCCUAUUUUGUCAUUGGAAAACGAGUGGAAGAUAAUUCUAGACUCUUAAAGAUAAUGUCUCCCUCUUUUCUCGAUAGUUUUGUCUGCAUUGCCAAUGCAUAUUCUAUUUGGCUAAUAAGUAUAUUUAUUUCUGUAUAAAAAUGUCUCAUUUCAUUUUUUAUAUGUAUAACGUCACUAAUAAUUUGUUGAACCCAUUUGUUUUAUUUUAUAUUAAUAACUUCUAUAUCGUAGCAUUUGUCAUUUAAAAAAUUUCUGUUUUUUUAAAUUUUUAAUUUACCCAUACUUAUUUAACUUACUAUUAUAAACAUAGAUUUGAAUACUUUAAUAUAUUAUCUUAGUAACGUUAACUAUUUCAAUGUACCGAUAAAGACAUCAUACUUCAUAAUAAAUAAUAAUAACUGUAACUAUAUAAUCACUAUAUAAUACUGUGCUUAGUACAAAUUCAAAUAAAGUAAUACCAAUUAU